rnacentral:rRNA from 1 species
UACGUAGGUGGCGAGCGUUGUCCGGAUUUACUGGGCGUAAAGAGCGCGCAGGCGGCUUUGUAAGUUAGAGGUGAAAGCCUGGAGCUCAACUCCAGAAUUGCCUUUAAGACUGCAUCGCUCGAAUCCGGGAGAGGUGAGUGGAAUUCCGAGUGUAGAGGUGAAAUUCGUAGAUAUUCGGAAGAACACCAGUGGCGAAGGCGGCUCACUGGACCGGCAUUGACGCUGAGGUGCGAAAGCGUGGGGAGCAAACAGG